rnacentral:rRNA from 1 species
UACGAAGGGGGCUAGCGUUGUUCGGAAUUACUGGGCGUAAAGGGCGCGUAGGCGGCUCUGAUCGUCGGGUGUGAAAGCCCUGGGCUCAACCCAGGAAGUGCACUCGAAACUGACCGGCUUGAAUAUGGAAGAGGGUCGCGGAAUUCCCGGUGUAGAGGUGAAAUUCGUAGAUAUCGGGAGGAACACCAGUGGCGAAGGCGGCGACCUGGGCCAAUAUUGACGCUGAGGUGCGAAAGCGUGGGGAGCAAACAGG